rnacentral:rRNA from 1 species
UCGGGAAUUUUGGGCAAUGGGCGAAAGCCUGACCCAGCAACGCCGCGUGAAGGAUGAAGUAUUUCGGUAUGUAAACUUCGAAAGAAUAGGAAGAAUAAAUGACGGUACUAUUUAUAAGGUCCGGCUAACUACGUGCCAGCAGCCGCGGUAAUACGUAGGGACCAAGCGUUGUUCGGAUUUACUGGGCGUAAAGGGCGCGUAGGCGGCAAUUCAAGUCAUCUGUGAAAUCUCCGGGCUUAACUCGGAACGGUCAGAUGAUACUGCUUUGCUAGAGUGCAGAAGGGGCAAUCGGAAUUCUUGGUGUAGCGGUGAAAUGCGUAGAUAUCAAGAGGAACACCUGAGGUGAAGACGGGUUGCUGGGCUGACACUGACGCUGAGGCGCGAAAGCCAGGGGAGCAAACGGGGAUUAGAUACCCCAGUAGUCCCUGAGCGGGCUGGCAAGGCGCAU